AACAGACGGGCGUUAGAAGCAGCAGAAAACACAGGCAGCCAGAAUGUGGAAGCACACAGGGCAACGUCUGGCACGGAUGCAAAUUUUUCCCUUCUUCUUUGCACUUACUAUGCUAAACCUUUUGCACAACACAUCUCUUUUUCUUUCAGUAAAGAAAAAAGUUCCUCAGUCGAACUAUGGCUGAUGGCAGAAGCUGAAGCUUGGUACUGUGUUGUCAUGUGACACCCAGUGAAAGGUAAAUCCUUGAUGGAAGGUGAACGUGGGGGGGACUCUUGGCUGGUCAGGAGAGGGGCUUCGUUUUGAUCAUGUACACACAGGACUUAUGAUACAUUUUCUUGUUUUUGAUGUACAGUCAGAAUUUAUGCCCAUGUUGAAAUUGGAAGUUUAAACUCAAAGGAAGGGGAAUGCUUUCUCCACAUUAGAUUUUUCCUUUUUUAAACACAGGUAAGAGAAUUAUGCUGUCGAGGGUAUGUCAAACCUGAGUGCUCACUUCAUAUGUGUUGUGAAUAAAGGACAUGCGUCCUUUGUGUGUUGAAUCUUUAUAAUGGAAACACAGCAAGUGCUUUGGAAGGAAUGGCCUUAGGAGCCUGUUAAAGUAGGGGUCGUUACUGAUUGUGUCUGGUGGUUUUGGAGAAGUCUCUUGGAUUUACGUUUCUGGUUGUCCAUGGCAAGCACAGGAAACACAGGUGACACACAGAGGCUGGCAUGCACACCGAGCUUGGUGCUCAGGGACCUGUCUGGCUUCGGUCAUAAGUCUGGGAUGCAUGGAGAACUACCUGGUUCCAAACCUGGAGGUGAAAUCAAUGUUCAGACAGUUCCCGUUCAGAACUGUCACUUGGUUAGAAGCAGCAGCUUGUAAAAUCAUGCCAAGGAAAUUCCAGGAAAUCUUGCUUUAGAAAAACACUCCUCUGCCUCUACACUUCUCCCCCAGCUCCCUCCACACUCCCACCUCCACCCCCAGCUCCCACAGUCUUCAUUCUCCUAGUUGCCUCUGCACACCACCACUUCCAUAACCCCUAUCUUACCAGCUGCCUCCACAGCCAUCCAUCCCCACCUCUAUAUCCUCCAACCUUCUCCACCCUCCCUUUACACAGCAAAACAUAAAACCAAAACCACCCGAGUCCUAGACCAGCACCUCAGUCAAGGUCUUGAGAUUCUCAAAGAACUUUGAAUCUGAGAAGCAAAAUCCAUCUCAGAAUCAUUUUUCAUCUCAAGAGAGCCUCUGGGGGCAAGUCUUGCUUCUCUUGUUUAAAGAGUGGACUCUUGAGCCUUGUCUCUGUGGUGCUUAAAUCUCCUAAGUGUGGAGACACAGUUACUGUCCUUCCUUACCACCACCAACUAUAUACCUUCAUUCUACUGUUACUCUUGCUUCAUUUGGCCAGGAACUGUGCUAGUGUGUUACAUAUGUGGCAUUAUCCUCAUGCCAGCUUUGAGAAUAGGCCCUCUUAGCAUCCCAGUGAAGACUGAAGUUCUUUUAGUGACGUGUCCAUGAUCAUAAGGCACAAAUGGUGCUCAGAUAGACUGUGGACUGCUACAAUCUGCUCCCCUCCCGCACCUUGACAUCUUGCACACAUUUUAAUCUAAAUGUUCUUAGUAUUUGGUAAAUAUUCUCUUUAAAAAUGAAGCGUGUUUGACAGGCCCACUUACAAAGUUUCUCUUUCAUACUAAGUAGAUGUUAUGCCUAACAUAUUCUUAGAGGAUAGAACUGACAGCAUAGAGAGAGACAUCUUAAACAGUAGAGCUUUGCAGGAAGUUUUCAUGGAAGUUUUUUGGGGGAUGGGUGUUUCAUCUAGCCUUAGGACGAUCUUUUGUUAUAGGAGUGUUCCAAAAUGUUUGUUCAUGUGUCUAUAGUCUGAAUUAAACUCAGGCAAACAUAAGCUUCAGAAGAGAAAUUCAAGACCCCCUUUCAGUAAUGCUUGGACUGAGGACUGUCACCAGGGAAAUAUGACUGGGUGAAAAGGCUGAGUUCUGGCCCUUGAUACCCUUUUCUCAGCUAUGAGUGGGAUCUUUACCUCUCUGAGACUCAGUAUUGUGUCUCAAAGAGUUAUAAAUAUUCUAUCUUGCAAGGUACUUAUAACAUCUCAAACUGAAAGUGCUUCUGAGUUUGCUAAACUCUAAGAUGCUAACACAAGGCAAUUGAUCCUGCACAUGAUGGCAAAGACUGUCUUUUGAUGCAGGUAUAACCAAAAGUAAAAGAAAAAUGUUAUUGGUUGAAAAGUUGAUUGCUUUCCUUUUCCUUUAUAGACUCCUUACUUAAGUCACAUUAUUCUUAGUAAAGAAACGAUUGAGAUUAUGCAGCUAGAUAGUACAGGAAUGCACAGAAGCUAAUCUCUGCUGACCAGACCUACAAGACUUAGCAGGGUAUGUGUAGGUCCUGAUGAGGAUCUGAUAACUGAACCUGUGACACUGCUCACUGGUUUCAGGUGCUACGGCUGCGGUUCCUAUUUAUAAAUCUCCAUCCUCUCUGAUUUCAACCAUUCUUUUAUUUUACUCUUAAUUAGGCUUUACUCUCAGGGAGAUUGUGACACACACUGGGCAAUCCACUGUUUAAGACAUAAGUUGUGCUACGGAUGUUGGCAACCUUCACAUGCUUCUGGCCCAUUGGCUGCUCUUAACCUGUAGUUUUAUCAGUUGCUGAAGACCACACAUGUAUGAGUUGUGUCUCUUCCUAUGUGUCUGUUUGGAUGGGGUUGGGGGAUGUGGAGGCAGCUGAUGGCAACAGGUAGAGGCAGAGUCAUGGACCCCAAUAGAUCUUCAGCAGAUCCAAGCUCUGCUGCUCAUAAGGUUUGUGUAGGACUGAGUUACCUCUUUGAGCUUUGGUUUUUCGGUCUGUGAGAUGAAGCUAUUCACUAUUUUCCUAAGAUGAGCAAUUAAUUUGGUCAAUUCAACUUCCUCUGGCUACUUUUAUGUCAACUUGACACAAGAUAUUGUCAUCUGAGAAGGGGGAACCUCAACAGAGAAAAUGCCUCCGUAAGAUUGGGCUGUAGCCAGGCCUACAUGGGAGGGCUCUGCCUAUUUUGCGUGAUACCACCCUGGGCCAAUCAUUCCCCUAGAUUCUAUACAGAAGCAAGAUGAGCAAGCCACGAGUAGUAAGCCAGUAAGCAGCACCUCUCUGUUGCUCCUGGACCAGCUCUUGUCUCUAGAUUCCCACCCUGUUUGAGUUCUUGCCUUGGUUUCCCUCAGGACGUAUAAGCCAAAUGAACUCUUUCCUCAUCAAGUUUCUUCUCUUUGUGGUGUUUCAUCAUAGCAACAACCCUAGGGGCUCAAAGUCAUCGUGUGUGUGUGUGUGUGUGUGUGUGUGUGUGUGUGUGUGUGUGUGUUUGUGUGUGUGUGUGUGUGUGUGUGUGUGUGUGUGUGUGUGUGUGAUUUUGAAUAACCCAGUUUGGCAGUGUGUUAGUUUCCUGAGCUGGGACAUAUUAUUCUGAACUCUUAUCUUUUCCUGGAUUCUACACUUGCUGCAGGCCAUCCGAAUGUUUCCAGAACACAUAGGUGCUAAGAAUGAGCAUCUGCACUUCAGUGAAGUUAUCCUUUAUGUGAGGCUUAGGGACUUUUUGCUUAAAAGAAGGUAAGGCUGUUGGAGCAAAUCAUUAGGCGCCAAUUGUUUCAGCAACAAGUAACUUUCCUGAGUCAUGCUGUGGGUGGGGUCUACACUUGGUCAGCAGAAGACACCUGUGAUGGCUGUAUGCUGGGUGUGUUAAGCACACUUUGAGAUGUUUAGGAAAAGCUGGUCAUACCAGGCUGUGCUGCCGAGAGCAGCACUCAAACAUCUUAUUGUUGAGAACCUAAGUUUUCAUUUUUGUCUGUUUGUCUAUAUUCCACCAGUACAAAAGGAAGUCAUGAGUUAACUGGGACUUAAUUAAAGAGAUAAUAGCAUACGGUUUUAUUUAUUCACGGGUUUUGCUAGCUGAGUUCAGAUUUCCACUUAUAAAUCCAAUCCCUUAAUGCAAGUGAAUGUAGCUUUCUCCAGUUCACUUAGCAAGAAUGAAUAGUUUCUACUGGUAACAUUUUAAAAAUAAGUCCAUAUAAGGGCAUAGGCGGUAAUCACUGAAAUAGUAGCGAAACUCUCAAAGAUCCCUGAACAGAAAGGAAAGCUCUUCUCUUCACCAGAUCAGUGGCCAAUUAGCUUAAACAUGCCAGGUGGCAGGUAAUAGGUGCACAGCAAAGCCCCCUGAUUAAAGGCACUCACUCUGAGGAGUGCAUGAUGGCUCACCAUUGGCUGAUGGUGACUCUUUCUUGAAAUAUCCUUUCAUAACCCUAAGGACCUACUAGGUCAGGAACAAGAGCAACUCAGGAAAUGAUGGAGGUACAGCCCUCUUAGAAACGGACUUCAGGAUUGCUGUUCAAGAGGCUGUUUACUCUCUUCUUUUUUCUUUUUUCUUUUUUUCCGGAGCUGGGGACCGAACCCAGAGCCUUGCGCUUGCUAGGCAAGCGCUCUACCACUGAGCUAAAUCCCCAACCCCCUGUUUACUCUCUUUACAGGUAAGCAUGUAGCUUUGUAUCCUAGACAAGACCUUACAAGGUAAUGUCUUCAUGGAGAGGCUGCUCUAGCCUUCUAUGCAGGAGAGAGAAGCAUAGAGUGGGGUCUUUCGAGAACAUUCGGGAGCUCAUAGCACUGUGCGGUACAGGUGGGCAUCAGUAGCAGAGUGCAGUCAGUCUGUUUCAUGACUGGACUUUUUGGAACGACCUGAAGAACACAGUGGUUAGGAACAGCUCAGGGCUGGAUUUUGAUAACUAAAUGUCUAAAUGCCAAGUCUUAUACUGCUAGCUGUGUAAACAGUUUUGGCGUCUGUAAAGUGGGGGACAUUUUAUUACCAAAGACAGCUGGACAUUGUGAGGUUGGAGUAAGGUGUUUAGGACUGGAGACUGUAGUCAUUCUUAUUAUUGGAUAAUUAAAGCUCUUAAAUUAAAGAUCGUAAGAUUCUUAUGGCAAAGAUGCUGGCUGGUUCUGUUUAUUGCUCUUAAAUCCCCUUUGCUGUGGGAGCUGGGCUGAGCACACGGUUAGGUUAAUCCAGCCCACUCUAAUUGAUGCCCUUAGAACCUGUCAAUUUACAAAACAAGACACAGAGCAAGCCCUGGAUGAAAAGAUGUAGCAGGGGCGGGAUUAAGAUAGAGGUCCAUGUUACCCCCACUGUCUCUUCUAGAUUGAAGGCUUUCACACCUGCUGGUCCCUUUCCAAGCUAAUAUCAAAGUGGCACCCAGUACUCCUGGGAUGUGCUGACACUGAGCCUGCGUACAGAGGGAGGGGGAACGGAGGCUCUCCUUGAGUGACUGGGCAAUAGGGUAAAUGCUAGGGAAAAAUCCUGGUAUUUUCUUGGUGUACAUGGCAAGUGUUCUUACUGUUUUAUAAUUGGAAAGUAUAAAAUACAGCUUCAAAUAAGAAUGAAAAAGAGAGGGGAAAAGAAAGAAAUUCAACAGGUGAAGUUGCAUGCCAAGUCCCACUGUCUAUUACUACCCCUAGAGCUGGCAUGGUGGCCUGAGGAAUGUCAAACUCUGAUGUCUGAUGCCAAGUCUGGUCAUGAGGCUCAGGUACAAGGGAGGGAUGAUAACUCAUCCAAUGGUUGUUCUCAAGUAACUCCUCCCCACACUUGGACUUAUAAACGGUAGGGCCCCUGUGAGGCAUCUGACCAAAAGGAAAAAAAAUCAUUUAACUUAUAAUCUACUUGCUGUGACAUCUAUCCUAGAACUUUCUGGAGUUCUAAACCAUGACAUCACAGCUUUCUUUAUAAAAAACAAACAAACCCCCUCCAUACCUCCUAACUGUCGGGUAUGAGUCAGGGCACUCCCAGGGCUGGGAGUGCAGGACAAGACACAUUCACAGGCUUGGACUCAACUGGAGCAUUCGGUGGACUAGAACAUGCCACAGGGCCACAGGACACCAGACCAAAGGAGGAAUGGCAGAAGCCCUACAGCCAGUUGCCAGGCAGGAGGAGGGUAUUGCUCUCAUAUCGCAGCAGCCACGGCCAUUCCCCAGCACACGAAGCACACUCAAACAGUUGCAGAGACAGCCAAGCGUAAAGCUGCUACAGAACUCCAAAGGUGAUAGAGAGCCACAUUCUAGGGCCCAGGAGUCCCCUCUGUACACAUCCCCGCUGUGUGUUUCUACUGAUGGAGACUCCAAAAGUCCAUGGACAGCUGGCUUGACCUAGUGAGGAGCCUGCUCAGCUCAGCUAGUCCAGUUCAUCACAGGGCAAUAUAAUGUAUCCCAGAUGAACAUUCCAGAAACUAAAAGUCCUCUUUAAGAAGAACUCCAGGCUUCUCAUCAUGCUAAGGAUCACAAACAGAAAACCUCAGCUUGAGAAAACAGACUUCCUACUGGAGGGUGCAGGAUUGGAGCAGAAAAAUCCUGAAAGGAGGUCUCAAGAAAAGAAAUACAUGGUAGACUUUGAUGGAAGAACCUGGAACUGAUCAGGGGACCAGGAUGUUGCUGCUCUACUGCCAGGAAGUGUGGAUGACAGAGUGGAGCCACAAAACUGGUGACCAUAAAUAUUAAAAAACAAAUCAAAACACCCCCCAAACAACACCAGGUAAGUCACAUGAUAUUAUGGCUAGAUGCCAAGUCCUCUAUAACUUCUCAUAGUGGAACUAUACAUCUACCCGUGUCAUUGAUGGGUAGUUUCUACAUCCUGUCUGUCUGUGAUGGCUAAUACGGUCUACCACUGUAGAUCUGGGUCUGGGAGGGAAUUUCUAGGCAGGGUUAAGAGGUGUGGGAUAGGGAUGCCCUCCCCCAGAAUGGGCAGCUGACAUGGAGGCCUGAGGGAAAAGCAAUGGAGCUGUUGCUUGCUUGAGUGCCUUUGCUCCUUGUUGGUGAGUGCAUGGAGCGCAUCUACCUAGUGGCUGUUACUGCAGUCACCCUUCGAUGACAUUGGAGUCCAUCUUCUUUGGCUUCAACCAGUCACUCUCCAGGAACCCUCUGGGCCUUCCUUGACAGGCUGGGACUGAGGAGGUGUCUGAGACUUUGUCCUCUUUAGUAUGCAAAGAGCUAUUUAUGAACUACCCCCUCCCACCAUAAUGUAAGCUAAUAUAAUAAGUCGCCCUUUGCAACAUACACUUCUGUUCUUCCAGAGAACCCAGCACAUAUGCCGUGUCACUCAUUGCCGUACACAUUGGAGGAGAUGGCUCCUUGGGGGAGACUUCAGUCUACCUCCUCUGAAUGCAGGGAUAGUUGCCAGAACUGUUCACAAAUGAUGCCUGGGUAUGGAGGUUAUCUAAUAAACUGAUGGCUUCUUUAGUGUUCACUGUCCUCGGACUGUGGUGAUUAGCUACUAAAACAAUUCAGAUUUCAGACCCCACAGAGGGAGGACUAACACAGCCAAUGAGAAUUUGAAAGGCAGAAAAAUUUUCCCUUUUUUUAAAAAAAAAAUUGCAAGCAACAUAAUUAAAGGCAUGUAAUUCAAGAAUCUGAUACGUCCAGUGAGGCUAGUCAAAGAUGUUUACAUGUCAAUAUAUGUCUGUGGUCACCUCUACCAUGACUGUAGCUGAGUAGGUCAGCUUCCCUAAAUCGGUGGAAAAAAAUGCAGGAAUCUGGAGUCACACAGGGAAAAAUCUAUUAGAGCUCCUAUGGGGGAAACAAGACCUUGUACUAAGUGUUACCAGCACUUAGUACAACACCAGUGUGGUGUGUGUGUGUGUGUGUGUGUGUGUGUGUAAGUGCUAGGGAGUGUCAGGAUGAAUACCAAAUAUCUUGCUCAUGGUUCAGACCAAAGUGUAAAGCAAUGCAAGGACUUCUUCUUAAUAAAAUAAGGUAGGCAUGGGUGGUUUGAAAAACAAUGCUGUGAUACAGGUCAGAAAACAGAAGCAACAGAAUUUUCCAGAAGAAAAAAAAAUAUUAGUAGCAAAGGAAAAACAAAAAACAAAAACAAUGGAUUUUAGACAUAAAAUGUCCUCUGCAAAUAUUUCAUAACUUUUUAAAACAUAGAGAAGGCAGUGACAGAUAUUUUGAAAAAGAAGUUUUAACUCAUUUUCUCUAUCCUUUUGUUUAGGGCCCUGAAACAAACAAACAGAAAACCAAAACAGUAUUGUCUUAGUUGUAACUUGUACUGGUGGGUCAGGCUGAUGUUGAAGUCUCAUCUAGAGGGAGAUUUUAAAAUUACCUCUGGGAUCUAUUGCAAUGUCUGCAGAGCUUUGACAGAAAGGACUGGAAGCUUUAAUGUCCCAUGCUUGUAGUUCCUAGUCUAAACCAAUCCAAAUCGAGUUUGCCUAAAGCUGACUUGGUGAGCAAUGCAAGUUGACUGGUCACCCUCUAGGUCCCUGAGAUCAAGAGGUCUGCCCUGGGCUUAGAACCAGAUGGGUUUUCAUCUCUGCUGGUGAGCAGGAGCCUGGAUCUCUCCUCCCCCCACCAAUGACUACUUUCUACUGAACUCAAUGGGGUGCUGAACCUUCUGCCAAAGCGAGGACAGGAAAGGGGGUGGUGCUACCAAGCAGCUGCAGCAAAUUUGUGGAGUUUGCUCCCUGGUGGGGUAACUUGGGGGUGGAAGGUGGGUGGGCCACCUGGAAUCGGCAAUGAGCAGGAGACUGUCUACAGUUCAAGCUGUCUCCCCCAACCUCGGAGUGUUGGAUAAAUAACUCCAUUAUGGAUUGCACAUGUCCAAGAACAAGAUCAAACUACCCAAAUCAUCCCAUCAUGGAUUAAUUGCAGCAUACGCAGUAACGCGUACUCCCAAUGUCUCUGGAUUUCUCAGGGUUGGGGGAAGAGGUACAAACCUACUCUUAACUGCCUCGUAUUCUCAUCUAUUCUACAUAACUAUUCUUGACUUCACACAGAUCCUUCCUUGCUAUUUUUAUUUCCUCCUGUCUCCCACCAGUCUCUCAACUGAAGGGAGAGGGAAGUGCUGCUGAAGGGAACUAACUACCCAGAAGCCCCUGCUGGCUGCUCAGGCACACUUAGACAUUUCUCAUCACCUCUCAUAACUCCGACCCCAAACUUAAGAAGCUAGUACUGUUAUUGUUUCCGUUUUAUGAACCAGAGAACAGAGACUCACAGUUAAGGAACUCGGCCAGCAUACAUGGACUCUGGCCUGGGUUGUUCUUAACUUGCUCUUGAUCUUCAAAGCAUGAACCGGAGACAUAGUCUGGAGGUGCGGUUUAUACACCUAAUCUGCUCCCAUAGCAGAGUGCUUCUCAUGAUGACAAGGCCAGCAUAAGACAGUGCUAAGCUGAGAGUUACCGUAAAGAGACAUGGCUUUGUAGAUCAGAAAACAUUGACUUUAACCCAUGCUUAACCAAGCAAAAAUGGGGCAGACACUAGAGUUUGAGUCUUGCUCCUUAGACCUCCAGCAGUCUCUUGGCUUCUCUGCAUUAGGUUCUUUGUGAAAUGGGGUUGCCCAAUACUGCUGAAGUAUAUCCAGCUUCUAGACCGUGACUGGGCAUUUAUAAAACAUAAAGCGUGAUUGCAAUGUGCUCGCGACACAGAAAUACUUGUCACUAAUGAACUGACUGAGGCAGCUGAAAUACAAGCUGUCAUUUUUUUUUUACCACUGAAAACAAAAGCAUGUGAAGCCUGGAUAUAAAGCCUUUUAAUAAGUUGGAAAUUACUUAUGACACAGCAGUGUUUAAACGAGGACUGGCAAGAUGGCGGCUGGGCCUCACUCUCUUGUCACAAGGGAUGACACAUAAGUCAUUCUAGAAGGAACAUUCUGUAGAGGGAGACUCUCUGGGCAGAAGGCCUGGGAUUGUGGACCCUUGGGAUUCUAUCUGUAGCCUUCAAAGCAUUUAUGAGCACCUGGAAAUUGUGUACAGCAUGUCUUAGGUGAGCUAAUCUUUUUUCUCCUGGGAAGAGAGACAAUGACUUUCAUCAAAAGCAAUAUAAUGUAAUGGUUAAGAAGCAGUAUAAUGUGACAAUGUAACAGUUAAGUUCUGAAUCAGAAAUCAGUCUGUCUAGGUAUAAGUCCCAGCAUCUUCAUUUGUGACAUGCUGGGUGAGUCACUUCCUUGGUGCCUCAGGCUUUCAUCUGCAAAGUGGGGCUAGUCACAGUGCAGUGUCCAUGAGGCUGCUGUGAAAAGUAACGAGGCGAUGUGUUUGAAGCGUCUGACAUAAUCAACAUUCAAAAGCUCUCGGCCACCAGUGCCACCAUCACACAUUCUUAAGCUGGUCCCUAACUUUAAGGGAGGAUUUAUAGCUACUGCCACAAGACACUGUACUGUUCUGGUUAAUAGUAUCUGUCAUUUUAUAAGGUUCACACUGGGACCCUACUUAAAAGGCCCUAAGCACUUUAAAUGCCUUUAAAAAAGUCCUUACAAGAACUUAGGAAGUAUGGAGUAUUUCUAAUCUAACUUUAGCCCCAGUUAAUGAAUAGCUGAAGCUAUAGAGUUAAGUGACUUGUCCAAGGUCACAUGGGCGAGCAAGGUCUGGAUGAGUCACAGUGUGAAUUUAGCAUUGACUCAAUCUAGAGAGAAAUCCCUGAACUGCUGCAGGACUUAAGGUGUAUAAAAACACACCUUCUCAAGGCAAGCCUUCGAUGUCUUGGCUUACUGAAGACCAGAGGUAAAAGUAGCAACACAGGGGUUCCAUGGAAGCCCCAGGUCUCCCAGUGUCUACGGAAUGUGACUACAGUGACUUCCUGUGUGUUCCCGGGGGAAAGAGAUGCCCACACCAGAGACGCUGGGAAGAGGGAGGGAGACAGACAGAUCACAGCUACAGAAAACCAAAUGGAAGAAAGAUGGGUUCGGGGCAUAGGGGAAUGUCUGCGUCUACUGAAAGCGACUCUGGUUGCAUGCUACUUUCUGGUGAUUACUUCAGGCAGUGUUGUCAAGAAGGUUGGGCAGCAUUGUCUGCUCAGUAUUUUUGAUAUAAACUCAAUGGAAACUGCUGACCAACUGUUGAAAGAGUGAGGAAGUUUCUCUUCCAGGUAGCUGCUGGUCUUCAGUGCUAUUUCCUGAAGGAUCAUCCUUGGAAUGACACGGCUUCUAGAAUUACUGUAAGGGGAAGUUAUGAGCAUGUUUCCCCAGUUUUAUGCUUAGGAUAAUUAAACAUUGAUCUUGGGUUUAAAUGAUUUUUGAGGACUUGGGUUACCUAAGUAUCAGUAUUAAUGAUAUUCUUAAAAAUGUGCUCUAGGCUCUGCAGGCAGUUCUAACAACUUUGAGAUAGUCUCUGAAUGUCAUGUGCAGUCCAAGUCUGCAUUGGCCAUCAACUCUGGCAGCCCUCUGAGCAGCCCCAUGAGGUAGUAUGGGAAUCGUCAGUGUUUUCAGAUGAAGAAACCGAAGGCAGAGUUUGGAAUCUGCCAAGCUUCCCAGCCUGUGGGUGACUCAUUUGAACAAUUGCGACAUUACUGCAUUAAGCAUCCAUUUGCCUCCAGUUACCGUAAAGAAAACGACCUUUGGCAAAAUUCAGUUGUAUACUGAAUUCUGUUCUUAAAGUUCAGUGUUAUAUUUUUAAGAACAAAGCUGUCUCUUGACCACUGUCAUGGACCUGUUCGUCUGCUGUGAGUUUGCAGAGGGACUUACAUGUUUCUGGGAAGAUCAGAAAUGACACUUUAGCUGAUGCUUGGAAAGGUGUUUAUUGCUCCCAUUUCAGAGACCGAGGGCUGGAGUCUCAGACAGAUUUAAGCUCAAACAGCAGAGCCUGCAAGCUGAACUCAGUUGGGCCACCUUUCUCCUCACACCUCAGUUCUCUUGGUGGCAAGUGCAUUUUCUAUGUCUUAUUUAUCCAGAAUAGAGAAAUUGGACUUAAAAGCUCCUCUAGAUGUUAAGUCAGAUUUGUUGAAGAAGGAAAGUUACUGAAAAUGCCUUCUACACAUGUCAGGGCAUGAGGACACAGUGUGCUCUCAGAGCAGGACUGGAAAUGUGGGAGCAGGAUGGGGUUCAAAAAAGAGAGAGGGAGGAAAAAAAACCAACCAACAAAAACAACACAGUAUAGUGACAGAAAAGCACCAAUGACAACCAGGUACUGCUACCAGGAUCUAGGUGCCCCAGUUGUUUAGCCAUUAUCACACGUCUCUGUGUUCCUCAUCCCACUAAGGGCAGUGAACAGAUUGCCAAAUGAGAUUUUUCCAUGACAGAGGUUGUGAUGGUUUGGAUAUGCUUGGUCCAGGAAGUGGCACUAAUAGAUGUGGCCUUGUUGAAGUAGGUGUGGCUUUGUGGGAGGAAGUGUGUCAUUGUGGGGGUGGACUUUAAGACACUCCUGAGGACAUGGGAGCCAGUCGUUUACUAGCAACCUUCAGGUGAAGAUGUAAAACUCUCAGCUCCCCUGUACCCUGCCUGCCUGGGUGAUGCCAUGGCCGUGCCUUGAUGAUAAUGGACUCAACCUUUGAAUCUAUAAGCCAGGCCUCAAUUAAAUGUUGCCCUUAUAAGAGCUGCCUUGAUCAUGGUGCCUGUUCACAGCAGUGAAAUCCUAAGAUAGAAGUUUAUGAAAAUCAGCAACAAAAUCACCCCAGGUCUGAAUUAUGACCUUGACUUUAUAGAUCUAUUCCAGGGUGCCUCUAAAGAGAUAUAGGAAGACCAGAGGGGCCAGACCUCUCAAAUGCCUUCUUCCUGUUAUAUUGUAGCUGCUCCCUAGUGACCUACAUUCUCAAGCCAAGUAUUUAAAAAGAAGUAUUUCCAGAAGGUAUAUGGAAGCAAAAGGAUAAGGUAUCAUGUAAUUAUUCUCACCUAUCUCCUUCUCACAGGGUUUUUAGGGAAGCUGAAUGUCCUCUAAAUACGGCUCCAGAUUUUAUGAUUUCUAACACUAACUAGUUUGAAUAUAAAGGAGUUAAAGGAAGUACAUGGCCGCAUGAGGGCAUGGAUGGGUGACUCAUUGGCUGAACAAAGGGGUAUAAAGGGACAGAGCAGUGACACAAGUGACACAUCAUCCCACACUGCCCUCUCUUUGCCUUGCUCCCAUUCACUUGUGUUGAGUCAUAAGCAUUUAUUGGCUCGCAAUGACUCAUAAAAUUCCAUGUUAAAUGCGAGAGAUUUGGGAUGUCAUGCAUAGUCCCCUGAAGGAGGGUUGCUUGCGCCAACUUGGAGGUAGUCAGAUGUCUUCAGCUGUGCAUACCCACACUCCAGAGAGCUACAUUGCUCAAGGUCAUGUCUUACAAUGGCUCCUAGAGUACUGGCUGAUAUGGGGGUAUAUGGUUCUUCUCAGCCAAACAUAACACAGAGGCAUCAUUCAGGCUGCUGCUGGAUGCACAAAAGCAUUCAUCUCUCUCUGCCCACAGCAUGCCAUAAGUGUUAAACUCAAGGUCUCUGCCAGUAAACAUCCUGUACACUUAACUUGGAAUUAGACCUAGGAGGCUCUGCAGAAAGCCAGGUGGCAAAAGGACAGACAUUAUCUUUGCAUGAUCAUAACCAAGGAUAAAAAUCAUAAGACAUAUUCAACAAUGAAUUACUCUGCUCUAAGAAGUAGCAGACCUUUGGACAGGAAUAAUGGUGCACACUUAAUACCAGCAGCCAGGAGGCAGGGCUUUGUGAAUUCGAGGCCAGCUUGAUCUCCAUA
rnacentral:sRNA from 1 species